rnacentral:rRNA from 1 species
AGCAGCCGCGGUAAUUCCAGCUCCAAUAGCGUAUAUUAAAGUUGUUGCAGUUAAAAAGCUCGUAGUUGAACUUCGGGGUUUACUUAUUGGUCAGGCUUAAUUGUCUGUACUGGUGAGAUGAAUCUCUACCUUCUGAGGAACUUUCAUGUCAUUUAUUUGGUGUGAUUGGAAAUCAGGACUGUUACUUUGAAAAAUUAGAGUGUUUAAAGCAGGCUAACGUCUGAAUACAUUAGCAUGGAAUAAUGAAAUAGGACGGACUGAUUCUAUUUCGUUGGUUUCUAGGAUCACCGUAAUGAUUAAUAGGGAUAGUUGGGGGCAUUAGUAUUCAAUUGUCAGAGGUGAAAUUCUUGGAUUUAUUGAAGACUAACUACUGCGAAAGCAUUUGCCAAGGAUGUUUUCAUUAAUCAAGAACGAAAGUUAGGGGAUCGAAGACGAUCAGAUACCGUCGUA